UCUUGUUUGCAGUUUUCACUUUCUAAAAGAAAAUCGGACUACGCAGAAUAUGAGAUGAGUAGAUAGAUCAUCAAAGGGGUAUCACAAAUAGUAAAACAAGAUCAAGAAACGCACUCUCUUUAUAUACCUGUAAAAGAUAUGGAAGGUGUUGGAAGGAAAAUAUCUGAUAAAUGUAAUUUGUUUGGGAUGUUGUUAAAGACUCAAAAGAGCAAAAAGAAGAAGAAAAGGGAGAAAAAGAAAUGAUUUAUGUACUGAUCUUGAUAAUUGGUAUGGGCGGACUCAAAAAAGUUAAUAAUUUAUGUCAGUGAUGAAGCUUUGACUUUAGCCAAAUCUGAGGUAUAGCUUCAGCCAAAGUAGCCAAAGUAGUAGAGUAUAAUGAACUAAGAACAAGAUGAAUCUAUCAUAUGAUCGAGAGACUUGUCAUAUUGCCUGAUGAAAGAUCUAUUCGCAUCUCUUCCCACCAGCUUAUUCUUCCCCCCAAACGUUCACAGAGCUGCUGCUUCUACAGGCUUGACGGGAACAGGAUUCCCCAUCAUUGAAGUUUCAGCAGCCAUUUUUUCUUUUGAAUCGGUCCUUGUGGUGUUUCGUUAGAUUCACUAUUUGGGUUAGUUGUUAUCUUUUGGUUCAAUUUUACCUUUUAGCUGAAUUAUCUUCUGCUGCAUUUGAUUGGAAACAAAAUUAGAACUGAGUUACUUGUAAAAAUGAGUGUAGGUCUGUGGUGAAAUGAUCAAAUUUAUGCUAUAGUAUGUAUAAAACCCUUUUUUUCUGUGGGAGAUAAUAAGUCUAUUCUGGCUGGUGCGCAGAGAUUGAUUUGCUCAGCCGUGGUUGUUUUUAAUGAAAGCUUUGCUGGGUUGAGAUAUCUGAGUAUCACAUUUUUCUUUUAUUAGUUUAAUUUUUGCAUGUUCUUUAUGUUAAUAUGUGAUUUAGAUGUCGAUAUCUUGUUUCUGAUAGCUUCUGGUAGCAGCUUUGGCUGAAAAAACAAUGUCAUUUCCACAGACUAUUAGGUGAUUGGCGACCACUGUAUGAAAUGUAUAACUUUGACAGUUUAAUGUAGUUUAGGUUUCGAGACAUAAGGAUUCCGAGCUGUUGCUUAGACUCUAGAGUCUAACUAGGUGUAACAGGUCCAGUUAGUGUCGUGUCAAUGAAGAAGAAGUGCAGUUGAGUUGAGUGCAAUGGGUUAUUGUUGGGAAGAAUGACUGUUAUAUUGGGAAUGGUCUCCUGCCGUUCUCAAGAACUGUCAAGAAACGUGAAGAACACCCAAUAAUGGUCAAGAACGGCCGUAACGACUGUUAUUACGGAAAAUAACAUAAAGAAUUUCCCCUUCUUUGGUUUUUUGGCCUAUGUAACUCUCUACUUCAAUCAUUGCAACAGAUUAAUUGUUUGAGUUGGCCAUCUGAGUUGAUGGAUUUCAGGUGUAGUGACACACCAGAUAUGUCCAUCUGUGAUGUAUGUUAAUGAUCAUUUCUAGUCAUGGUUUGAGGCUUUGAGCUACAUGUUUUGAUAACUCAGUUUCAUCAUUUCUAGAGAGCCAACGUUGACAAUCUUACUUCAGGACAAUUUGCCAAAAGAAAAGCUGCGCCAGAUUUGUGGACUUACUUUCAGAGGAGAUCUUACAGGAUGUUGCCGCAGGAAUUGAUCUUUUCGGUUCAAGUACGAGGUUCACUAGAAAUUAACAACUUAAUUCCUCGCCUUCAUCUUCUUGUUAAGCUUCAGGUUCAUUAACUGUUGCUGGCGCGCAGGUAUAUCUACCAACUCAAUCUUAGAGGCUUUGCACUAACCUUUCCGCUCAACAGAAGUGCAUUUUCUGAUUCAUAUACGAGUGAUACCUAUGUUACUGACAACACAAAGAUAAAUCCAAGAGCUACAAUUUACAAAUAGUAAAUGAUCCCAGCUGGCCACAUAUCCGAUGCGUCAUGUCACUGUUGGCUGAGGAUUCGCGGAUGUCAUGUGGUCUUUAUAACAUUACUCAGUUAGGUGCUGGGUGAUAUCACUUGUUGUAUUUACUAACAUAUGUUGUUUCUUCAACACUUCAGGGAAGAUGCAUCACCUAUUGUUGAUGACUGUGGCUGCUAUAUAUGCAAGUAUCACACUAGAAUUACUCAAAAUAUUUUGGGCCUGUGAAUAAGAAUUUUGGGCCUGUAAAUAAGAAUUUCUUUUUAUUAGAAUUCUUUUAUUAGGCCUCAACCUAACUUUCCGUAGCAGUAUGAAUACUCACACCGGACUGUUGAAAGGUCCUUAUUUUAGAUCUAGAAUUUUCUUGUUUCAUCGUAUCCGGAGAAAGAUAGGAACUCUGUAGGAUCGUUGUUUAAUAUGAAAACUAUAGGGAAACCCAUUCUCCCAGAUCUUUCCACUGUGAAACCCACGCUCCCAAAACUAAAGGCGCGCACCCAUUUUCUGGAAGAAAAUUAUUCUCAGACCCAUAAUUUAUAAAAUUCGGUUGUCGUUCUUUUUUCUUCUUCAUCAUCUUCAAUUCUUUUUAACUCAGAUAAGGAAAUCGAAGAAUUUAGACAACGAAGAUUCGAGGGAGAGUUUGCUACUAUGAUUUUGGUUGAAUCAAAGAAGAAACUGAGAUUGGGGUUUUUUCAAUCAGAUGGAAGGUUGCUGUUCAAGAUGAGGAAAGGGGAUCUGUGAAGUAGAUGAGAAGAAAUUGCUGAUUUUGAAUUGCGAAAAAUGGGUUGGAGUUUGUGUGUUGAUUGGAAAGGAAGAGGAAUUCGAAGGUGGGUCUAUGAUGUUGAGAAGAUUUAAGAACUUGGGUUUGUCUUUGAUUCCAAGAUGGCAUCAGAUGGUCUCGAAAUUGUGAUGUGAGUUCAACACAGGAAGAUGCAGAAAUUGGUUGGUCGAUUCAGAAGUUUGACAGUGGUUUCGUCGUCGUAUGUGAAGGUAUCAAUAGAAGGUUUAAGAGAUGGAAGUUUUGGCCGAUGGAGAUAAGGAAGAAAACGAGUUGCUGCCAUCGAUUUGGGUGAGUAAUGGAGGAGGUUAAGACAAGGAAUGUGAAGCGGAGAAGAAAAUGAAGAUGUGUUUUUAUCGAAUUUGGCUUCACAACAAGGAUUGAUAGUGAACAGUUUCAGAAGUUAUAUCAGCCAGGGAAGAGAGGCAAGUUGUUGUUGUUAACUUCAGUGAAUAAAGUGCAUUUUGAU